rnacentral:rRNA from 1 species
UACGUAGGUGGCAAGCGUUGUCCGGAUUUACUGGGCGUAAAGAGCGCGCAGGCGGUCGGAUAAGUCGAAUGUGAAAGCCCCCGGCUUAACUGGGGAGGGUCAUUCGAUACUGUUCGACUGGAAGGCAGGAGAGGGAAGCGGAAUUCCCGGUGUAGUGGUGAAAUGCGUAGAUAUCGGGAGGAACACCAGUGGCGAAGGCGGCUUCCUGGCCUGUUCUUGACGCUGAGGUGCGAAAGCUAGGGGAGCAAACGGG